GUGCGUCUGUGAGUGUAUGCUGAAAGAACCUGUUUCGGAUAUGGAACUGGAGGGUUAAAGUGCCCAGCUCAUGGAUCUUGACGUGUGCGAGAGAGAGGCACUUGUGCACUCGACUGGGUUCCGUUUCAAGUUGUUGGACUAGUGGUCGCAGUAGGCUCCGUGGUGCUUGGCAAAGAGCUUGCUGCGUCCUAGUUCAGGGUGAUGCGCUGAUCGCCACUAACUGCGAGCGAGCGUUUUGACGAUCUGGGUUCCUGACGGAACGCUGGUCCGCUUUGCCUGCCGAGUAAAGUCGGAAUCACGCUACGAUCUGUGAACGAAACGGGCGUCUGGUAAAAUUUGCAGGAGAGCGCUAUCCUACCCUGUACACACCCGGCAACUUGGGAAUCACAGUAUAAUCCGCGAACGAAACACGUCACAAGAGCGUAUGCGUCUUAAUCAAAGUCCCUACCAUGCAACCGCGAUCAAACUGACGCACUCACAGCAUAGGCAGGCAUUCGGCGCGCUGCCGUCAUGAAAAUGGCAACUUGCAGCGAUGCAGCUUUUGGUAGACGCAGCGAUCACUCCAUGUACGUAAUGACAGCAUAAGCGUGGCUAGCCGCGGCAAAAGGCGCCCAAUGGUGAGCGCUGGCUUGUCAGGGCGCGCCCAUGUCUCAUUGCCGCAUUCCGGAGCAGCGGCGUUUGUCGCCUGCGAACCCUGUGGCGCUGCACCUGCUCAACGAAGCGUCUGUGCAGGCGUGUUCGCGAUGAAUUCUGCUUUUUCCUCUGAAGCAUUUCUGGCUGGGUUUGGACAGAACGACCUCCGCGGUUUUCACUGCAGCAGCUCAGCCGGUGAUGGCGUCAGCGACGAGAUGCCUCGCGACCAGCUCGAAUGCAUGUUUCGGAAUACGAUGGUAACGCUUGGCGUAGCCGCGAGAUGCACUCGCUGCAGCAACUGCAUUUCGAGAAAGCCAUGCGCGGUCGUGGUGCAGCAUCGGCGAACGUGAGUCUUGCAUGGCAGCCGCGUCGCGUAAUGCGAGGCGUUAUAUCGAGUUCUACGCACCACGCUAGCGUACCGUAUUCAUGAAACAUGUAGCGGAGCGUCGCGAACACGUGUCUGUGCCGGUAGGCUUACCAGCCCACAUUAGCGUGCAUUGUGCGUGCGAGGCUCGCGUCUCGCCCUGCCAGACCAGGCGCGAGGAGCAAGCAGAGCGAACGCUCAACGCCUAGCGAGCGGGUGAUGCAGAGCGGGCGCAUUACAGAACGUCACCUGCGCCCGUAACGCCCCCCGAUGCUCCUCGACACGCUCGAUUCUCGCGCUCUGACAUGGUUAGGAUCGUCACCAAAAUCGGUUUAUACGCUCUGUGUUCGUCUAAUCAUACCCAACAGU